GGAGGGCAGGGCAGGGCAGGGCAGGGCAGGAGCACCCGGGGAGCAGCGGUAGCGGCCAGUCGAGCGCCCCGGGGCUGGGAGGGCUGCCCACCCCCCCGCCCGGCACUGCGGGGAAGGGCCGUGGGAGGCCCGGUGCCCCCCGCCGCUGCGGGCCCGGCUUAGAUCGGCGGCGGCCCCGGCGCGCUGUGGGCCCGGGCGGGGCGGCGGGGCGUUCUCCGCGCAGGACAGCGCUGCCCACCCGGCUCGGGGACUGGCGGCGGGAGGAGCGGGGCCUGGCAAGGUGACCUUGGCCGCCGCAGGGACCCCCGCUGGGCCCGCUCCCACGGCCGCCCCGGGCUCUUCUCCCCGGCCCGGCCCCGUCUUACCCGCGGUCCAGGUCGGGUUUGACCUCUGGUUGCUCUCUGGGUUGAAGAUGAGAGGUUUCCGUGGGAAAUCUCCCUCCGCGCUGGGCUCCGCGGCCGGCGGGACGCCUCCUGCCCCGAAUGAAUGGGCCCCGCACAGGCAUAACCGGGUCCCUCCGUGCCACGACCUUGCCUGCCUUCAGUUUCGCUAUGACAGCGGCUUGGUUUUCAAAAUCUGCUUCUGCAGAGCUGCUCGCAUCACUCAGUGUACGAGGUGGGCUGUGUUUAUUAAAAGCAAUACGCAGUGUGACACGCUGAUAGCUUUGGCAUGUGUUACUUAGCACAGUGUGUGCAGUUUGACAUUGAGAAGCUUUCCGUCCGGUGGCCCAGCCCUGCAGACAGUCGUGCCUUGGAGUAGGGGAACAGUUCCGUUGAUUUUCUUCCAGGUUUAUUUGUCCUUAAAGUUAGGACUAUGUAUAUGCUUGCUGUGCUUCAGAUCUGCAACAAACCAUAGCAUUUCACUUAAAGCUGUGAGUUUUAAGAAGGAUCGUAAUUGUGUAUGUGCCGUUCAGUGCUCUUCAUGGGACAGGCUGACAGGCCGACUAGACAGAGGUUGUAGCUUUACAAAAUGUGUAUACCAAAGCAAAUCCUGAAGUGCAGUGUAUAGAGUGAGAAGUGAAGUAUCUGACACGAAAGGUAUGUGUUCCAUGUUGGUGCAGAAGCCUCUUUUAGAGCCAUAAAUAAUAUCUGAGAAAUGUGAAUGUUUACUUCUUGUUGCUGUAGUGGCCUUAUGCUUGAAAGCUGAUGAGGAACUCAGGGUUUUAGUUGCCUAAUACUUUUCCAUUAGAAAAGAUGUUUAAUAAUUUUAAGUAAACUGAAACUUCCAUUGUUUAUAACAGGCCUUUGGAAAGUGUCAAGUGCUCCGGAGCAGUGUUUUGCCUUAUGAAAUUCUAUUCAGUAACUGAAGCGUCUGUGCUGGCAACCUCCUCCGUGGCAUUAACAACAAAUGACUCGGUAUGAACUUUGGAAGUCUGAACAACCCAGAAGUUGCUUCAUACUCCAGUAGUUUGUGACAGAAGACGAUGAUGGCCUUUAAAUGAGAACUUGCAAAACUUUAUCAACUCCUGUGUCCUCUCCAGCCUUCACAACCAUUUCUUACUUUUCAUCAGUAGAGCUCUGCAGAGAAGAGCUGGGGAAGGAACUGUGUCUUCUUCCAUCCUACCUGCUUCAAACCCUGUUUAAAGGAUUGGUUUGUUUGUUUAACUGAUUGAUAGUUCAUGCGUGUUUAUUUGGAAAGACAAUUACUCACGAAGGACUGAUAGAGUUGUUUUUUCUCUGUGAGGCUAUAAUUUUGGACACAUCAUUGUUAUAUGCCAUUUCUGGGGAACAGGGAGGCAAUAAAGGGUAUGUGUGUAAGGGGAAGGAGAUUUGUGUGCCCGUGCGUGUUGGUUGGUUUUGUAACUGUUGUAAUUUUAAAUGAGUUGAACACUAAUUUACCUGAUAUUGAAAGGUAAUCCUAGGAAAGCUGUUUGCUUCUUGACUUGUGUGUUAAGCUGAUGUGCUGAAGUUAAUUUUUUUUUUUUUCAGGAGAUAGAUGUUUCAUGUAUGUCUGUGAUUGACCUAAAUUCAGCCUGGAAGCUUGUAAAUAACCCAGUGUAGUAAUGUUAAUUUUCCACUAAUCCUCUGUUUUGACAUCUAAAAAUAAAAUGUUUCUAAUUUCCA